AGGACGAACGCUGGCGGCGUGCUUAACACAUGCAAGUCGAGCGGAAAGGCCCUUCGGGGUACUCGAGCGGCGAACGGGUGAGUAACACGUGAGCAACCUGCCCCUGGCUCUGGGAUAGCCUCCGGAAACGGGGAUUAAUACCGGAUAUUCACUGUCUCCUGCAUGGGGGGUGGUGGAAAGUUUUUCGGCUAGGGUGGGGCUCGCGGCCUAUCAGCUUGGUUGGGGGGGUGACGGCCCACCAAGGCGACGACGGGU
rnacentral:rRNA from 1 species